rnacentral:rRNA from 1 species
UACGUAGGGGGCAAGCGUUGUCCGGAUUUAUUGGGCGUAAAGAGCGUGUAGGCGGCUUUACAGGUCCGUUGUGAAAACUCGAGGCUCAACCUCGAGACGCCGGUGGAAACCGUAAGGCUAGAGUCCGGAAGAGGAGAGUGGAAUUCCUGGUGUAGCGGUGAAAUGCGUAGAUAUCUGGAGGAACACCGGUGGCGAAGGCGGCAUCCUGGACCGGUAUUGACGCGUGAGGCGCGAAAGCCAGGGGAGCAAACGGG